rnacentral:rRNA from 1 species
GUGGGGAAUUUUGGACAAUGGGGGCAACCCUGAUCCAGCAAUGCCGCGUGAGUGAAGAAGGCCUUCGGGUUGUAAAGCUCUUUUGUCAGGGAAGAAACGGGAUGUCCUAAUACGAUGUCCUAAUGACGGUACCUGAAGAAUAAGCACCGGCUAACUACGUGCCAGCAGCCGCGGUAAUACGUAGGGUGCAAGCGUUAAUCGGAAUUACUGGGCGUAAAGCGUGCGCAGGCGGUUAUGUAAGACAGGUGUGAAAUCCCCGGGCUUAACCUGGGAAUGGCAUUUGUGACUGCAUAGCUAGAGUGUGUCAGAGGGGGGUAGAAUUCCACGUGUAGCAGUGAAAUGCGUAGAGAUGUGGAGGAAUACCGAUGGCGAAGGCAGCCCCCUGGGAUAACACUGACGCUCAUGCACGAAAGCGUGGGGAGCAAACAGGAUUAGAUACCCUUGUAGUCC